GACGAACGCUGGCGGCGUGCUUAACACAUGCAAGUCGAACGGAAAGGCCCCCUUGUGGGGUACUCGAGUGGCGAACGGGUGAGUAACACGUGAGUAACCUACCCUUGACUUUGGGAUAACUUCAGGAAACAGGGGCUAAUACCGGCUAGGAGCUCCUGCUGCAUGGUGGGGGUUGGAAAGUUUCGGCGGUUGGGGAUGGACUCGCGGCUUAUCAGCUUGUUGGUGGGGUAGUGGCUCACCAAGGCUUUGACGGGUAGCCGGCCUGAGAGGGUGACCGGCCACAUUGGGACUGAGAUACGGCCCAGACUCCUACGGGAGGCAGCAGUGGGGAAUAUUGCACAAUGGGCGGAAGCCUGAUGCAGCAACGCCGCGUGCGGGAUGACGGCCUUCGGGUUGUAAACCGCUUUCGCCUGUGACGAAGCGUGAGUGACGGUAAUGGGUAAAGAAGCACCGGCUAACUACGUG
rnacentral:rRNA from 1 species